rnacentral:rRNA from 1 species
UACGUAGGGGGCAAGCGUUGUCCGGAAUUAUUGGGCGUAAAGCGCGCGCAGGCGGUCGAUUAAGUCUGGUGUAUAAACCAAGGGCUCAACCUUUGGACGCAUUGGAAACUGGGUGACUGGAGUGUAGGAGAGGAAAGUGGAAUUCCACGUGUAGCGGUGAAAUGCGUAGAUAUGCGGAGGAACACCGAUGGCGAAGGCAAUCCCCUGGACCUGUACUGACGCUCAUGCACGAAAGCGUGGGGAGCAAACAGG